rnacentral:lncRNA from 1 species
GAUAACAAAAAAAUGGGUGCAGGAACUCUAUGCUCUAAUGUUAAUCAACAUGCCUACAACCAAAGGAGAGAGUAAAACCCAAAGUCAAGACAAGCAGCUUGAUGCUGAGGGAGAAGAUGGCAACGAGGAUGAAGACGACGAAGAAGAUGAUGAUGGAGAUGGUGCAUUUGGAGAAGGAGAAGAGGAAUUGUCAUCUGAAGAUGGAGGUGGAUAUGGCAACAAUUCCAACAAUAAGAGCAACUCAAAGAAGACUCCUGAAGGUGGUGCUGGUGGGGCAGAUGAAAAUGGAGAAGAGGAAGACGAUGAAGAUGGUGAAGGUGAUGACCAUGAUGAAGAUGACGAUGAGGACGAGGACGACGAAGAAGAGGAUGAGGUCGGAGAAGAGGACGAAGAAGAUGGUGUUGAAGAAGAGAAUGAAGAGGAAGAAGAAGACGAAGAUGAGGAAGCCUUGCAGCCACCAAAGAAAAGGAAGAAGUGAAUUUAGCUUAGUCAAGCCUCCUUUUGUAUUGUUGUGUACGAAUUUGGCUUCUAACUUCCCAUGAUGUUUUUUUUAAGUAUUAAACUUCUAUGUUCUUGUUUUCUUUAUAAGGAGGCCUAUGUAGGACAUGUUUUAAUUGAUAUCUGUGUUUACCAUUGCGUAAUUAGAAUUCUACAUUAUGUUGAGCAGUCAGUCUUAAAUUUACAAGACAGAAAAAAUAAUGAUCCUAGUUAAUUUUAACGUGACUUUUCUCACUUCACCAACUUCUGUAAUUUGUUUAUGUUCUACUACAGUUCC